GACGAACGCUGGCGGCGUGCCUAAUACAUGCAAGUAGAACGCACAGUUUAUACCGUAGCUUGCUACACCAUAAACUGUGAGUUGCGAACGGGUGAGUAACGCGUAGGUAACCUGCCUGGUAGCGGGGGAUAACUAUUGGAAACGAUAGCUAAUACCGCAUAAUAUUGAUUAUUGCAUGAUAAUUGAUUGAAAGAUGCUAUUGCAUCACUACCAGAUGGACCUGCGUUGUAUUAGCUAGUAGGUGAGGUAACGGCUCACCUAGGCGACGAUACAUAGCCGACCUGAGAGGGUGAUCGGCCACACUGGGACUGAGACACGGCCCAGACUCCUACGGGAGGCAGCAGUAGGGAAUCUUCGGCAAUAGACGAAAGUCUGACCGAGCAACGCCGCGUGAGUGAAGAAGGUUUUCGGAUCGUAAAGCUCUGUUGUAAGAGAAGAACGGGUGUGAGAGUGGAAAGUUCACACUGUGACGGUAUCUGACCAGAAAGGGACGGCUAACUACGUG
rnacentral:rRNA from 1 species